CUAUUUAAGGAAGACGGGAACUUGUGAACUCUGCGCUCCGGGAGUUGAUGGAUGUGAUCGCCUUGUUGAGCUUGUAUGUUUACUUUGCAUGAAAUAUGUAUGAUGAUGUUGGAUGAUAGUAUUGUGCAUACUCAGUUAAUUUUCAUGACCCACAUUUAUGAUUAAGUCUAGGGAUUCAUGGUUAGAGUAACAAGACACUAAGUAUAGACCCAACCUUUCCCCUAGGAGCAUAAGAAACUACCACG